AUUGAGGCAGCGGAACAAGAAGCUCUUACUCCUAACCAUCUGUUAAUCGGAAGCUCCAACGGUAUCAAGCAGCCGACUGUGGAGCAGGUAGACGAAAAAUUGGCGCUGAAAAAUACUUGGCACCAAAUACAAACUCAAGCGGACACUUUCUGGCGUCGAUGGAUUCGUGAAUACUUGCCGGAUUUGACUCGGCGUACAAAAUGGCAGAGUGAAACUCGACCGAUUUGCGUAGGAGACUUGGUGAUCAUUGUGGAUGAGGCUAGAAGAAAUGGUUGGGUCCGCGGACGUGUUAAUGAGGUAAUUCCAGGGCAAGAUGGGCGUGUAAGAAAGGCGAUUGUUCAAACUCAUAGGGGGCUCACUAGGCAAUCGGUCUCCAAGCUAGCUGUACUUGACGUUGGGGGUGAGGUCUCAAAGUUAGCUGUAUUUGAAGUUGCGACUAAGGGUAACCCGGGAUCAUCCUGACCAGUGUUACGGGGGGGAGGCUGUUGGCAACUGGGAGCACUGCCAACUUUGAAGCGGCGCGACAUUUUCGACGCCAAAUACUAAACUGCAGUUCAGCGGCCAGCCGCGACGCUUUCCCGUUUGACAGCUACGAGUUCCGGGAAAAAACUUACACCACCCAUUCAAGAAGAGUCAAACAGAUAGCUUUAUUUCUAUUCUUCGUGAUUAAAACUAUAUCUACCUAUUUAAACUACAAUUGAAAAAAACUACCUAACCUAAGCUAAAACUAUUGCCGAACCAAGUGCAGUGAAACAAACGAACGAUAACCAGACAGUGGCACGUAAACAGCUAGUUUUCAGUGAGACCUUUUCGGAUUCAUCCGGCCCAGUGUAGAGCAUAGUACUGUGCUAAACAACAACGUGUUCCAUCCAGCGCUUUCUAGCUCGACUAUUGUUCCGGCUCUUCCAGCCUAGUUCAUAGAACUUAGCCUUCUCAAGCCGCAUCCGAGUAACAGCUCGUGAAUCGUUUCGGCUCAUCCAGCCAAGUUUAUCGAACUUAGCCUUCUCAAGCCGCGUCCGAGUAACAGCUCGUGAAUAGUUCCGGCUCCUCCAGCCAAGUUCCGAGAACUUUGCUCUAUCAAGCCGUGUAACACUAUCAGGUUAGCAAUUCCCGCUGCAUGCAAAAACGGUUCAUGCUAACGCUUUCUUUCAUUAGCAGCCUUGGUCAGCUUUGCCUAGAAUCGUUCCGGUUGUAGGGAAAUCGACUCGAAACACUGAUUUUGUAAGUCAAAUUACUAUAAAACUAAAAUUAUGUCAUCUAACCAAAACUCAAUAAAUUACAGCUUGAAGCUGCUUUGCUAUCAAGACCGGUGUCCUUUUCCC